AUCCACUUGAGGGAGGGAUGCCAGGUUCAGAGCCAGUUUCCAGGGAGAUAAUGCUGAGUCCUCUGUGACAAGCUAAUAUAUCAUUGAGCAGAGAUGGGAGAAGGCAAAAAGAUGCUCUUCAUGUCGGCAUUCAGGCCGACUGAUGCUACAAGGGACUGAGAAAAUAACUUGCAAGUUCAACUGCUGUGGACAGCAGAGUUAUGAUGUAGAAUGGAACUUCAAGAAUGGAUGUCCAGAUAUAAAGUAUUUUAUUGCCUUUCACGCUCCAGUUUGACCUCCAGUCCCUGCUAAAUGAAGAAGCUAUCACAGUAAGAUAAUGUGCUUAUCUCAUUUUUAAUGAAAAUGAAUUAGUGCCAGUGACAAUGCUGUGACAAACAAAAUGCUCUAAACUUUUAUUCUCAUCAGGGGGGAUAUAUUUUACUCAUUUUGAAGGGGAAGCUGGUAGGUGGUAAGGCAGCCUUCUCUUUUCCCACAAAUGUCUGCUGAUACUGUUUUUAAAAAUAAAAUGAGGGAAAGUCCUGUA
rnacentral:lncRNA from 1 species